rnacentral:rRNA from 1 species
GAAUUGUUCGAACGGUGGAACAUGUGGUUUAAUGCGAUAAUCCACGUAAAAUCUUACCAAUAUUUAAAAUUAAAUAGUAUUAAAUUAUUAAUAUCAUAUAUUAUAUAUAUUUAAUUUCGGUAUUGCAUGGCUGUCGUCAGUUCGUGUUGUGAAAUGUAAAAUUAAGUUUUAUUUACGAACGCAACCUAGGGUAUGUUUUAAUUUAAUUAUAGGUUUGCGCUUAAAUUCUAUUUUAACAUAUUUGUUAUAUUUUUAAUAUAAAAGGUUUUAGCUGAAGUCAAGUCCUUAUGGUCUUUAUAUAUUGGGCUACACACGUGUUACAAUGGUAAAAACAAAAAGUAACAAAUACGUAAGUAAGAGUAAAUCUUUAAAAAUUACCGAAGUUUGGAUUAUUUUAUGUAACUCUAAAAUAUGAAAAUGAAAUCGUUAGUAAUUAUAGGUUAGUAUACUAUAGUGAAUUAUAAGUCAAAUUUUGCACACACUGCCCAUCACGCUCGAAAAAUUUUAUAAAAUUUAAAAUAAAAUAAAAUAAAAAUUAAUUUUUUAAUUUAUUAGUUUUAUUUAUUGUAGUUUUGUGAAGUAAUUU